rnacentral:rRNA from 1 species
AUUGAACGCUGGCGGCAGGCCUAACACAUGCAAGUCGAGCGGAGCGGCGGCCGGGUGAGUAAUGCCUAGGAAUCUGCCUGGUAUUGGGGGAUCACGUCCGGACACGGGCGCUAAUACCGCAUACUAUCAGAUGAGCCUAGGUCGGAUUAGCUAGUUGGUGGGGUAAAGGCCUACCAAGGCGACGAUCCGUAACUGGUCUGAGAGGAGGAUCAGUCACACGGGAACUGAGAAACGGGCCAGACGCCGACGGGAGGCAGCAGGGGGGAAUAUUGGACAAAGGGCGAAAGCCUGAUCCAGCCAUGCCGAGUGUGUGAAGAAGGGCUUCGGAGUGUAAAGCACUUUAAGUUGGGAGGCGUUACCAACAGAAUAAGCACCGGCGAACUUCGGGCCAGCAGCCGCGGUAAUUC